rnacentral:rRNA from 1 species
GAGAAGUCCCGGCAAACUCUGUGCCAGCAGCCGCGGUAAUACGGAGGGGGCAAGCGUUGUUCGGAAUUAUUGGGCGUAAAGGGCACGUAGGUGGACUAGUAAGUUAAAAGUGAAAUACCAAAGCUUAACUUUGGAGCGGCUUUUAAUACUGCUAGACUAGAGGUCGAAAGAGGAUAGCGGAAUUCCUAGUGUAGAGGUGAAAUUCGUAGAUAUUAGGAGGAACACCAGUGGCGUAAGGCGGCUAUCUGGUUCGAUACUGACACUGAAGGUGCGAAAAGCGUGGGGAGCAAACAGGAUAGG